UUGCUUUUCCUUCCCCUCAUUUAGUGCUAUAUUUUGGUUUUUGCAACAGAAUUUAGUAUUAUUCAUCCCCACUUCUCUCUAUCUCUCCCUCUCUCAGCAGCUAGCUAAACAAACAAUGGAAAACUUAAAAACUUUCUUCUUCACCGCCAUUUCUCAAACUCCGGUAACCUGCAACACGACCUACGCCAAUGAAUCUAGGAUGAGCCGAUCUACAAAACCCAUAUGGCCAUACGACGGGAAAUUAGCUAACGCGGCAUCACCAACGAACAGCUGCCGAUCAUGUCUACUUCCUCGGGUCCCCCAUCUUCUGCAAAAGGAGAUGGAUUCGUUUCCGCUGCCAAGGAAGUUUCAUUGCUUGAUCAAGGAAGUCAGGGGAGGAGUUGUGUUCCCCAAACAGGUGAAAAAUUACAUCUCCUGAUUGACUAUUGUUACUUGCUCAUGAGAUUGAUCAUUCUUCACAUUUUUGGUUUUCCCUUCUUCCAGGAGAUUGAGUUUCUCAGUUGGCUUGAACACAAGAACAUAGUUCAAUUUCAGCUUGAGUCUUUGAAUGUUUACAAACUCUAAAGUGUUUUGGUCAUGCUAUGAUAUUUUGUGGUUAAAUAUAAGAUUUAGCUUAACAUUAUAUGAAGUGAUGUGAUAUGCAGGUUCAUUUUUUGUCAAGAAAGAUGGUUUACUUGGCCUUGGUUUUGUUAAGAUAUCUUUCAUUUAGCAAAGAGGAUUCUUUGAUGGAUUUGCUUAGUAAGCUGGUUUAUGGAGACCUGACCCAAGUACGGGAUAGCCAGGCCAAAAGAGGGCCCUUUCUUUUUGAAGAUCAAGUACGACAAGUAUCCGGCAAUUGAUGUCAGCGCCUGUAGUAAGAUCAAGUCCGACGAGAUUCAGGUUUUACCUGCAGAAAUAGGCAGCAUAAGAGGAAGCCAUGUGGAACUCAAAAGGGGGAAGUCAUACCAGCCAGUUUGAGUCCAUCGUUUUCUGCACCGGAUUCAAGACAUCAACAAGUUUGUGGCUCAAGGCAGAUGAUUAUCUUUUGAAAGAAGAUGGGAUUCCAAGACCAAGUUCUCCAAACCAUUCGAAGGGACAGAAGGGUUUGUAUUGUGUGGGACUAUCAAGAAGCAAUUUCCGUUUUUUAUAUGUUCUGUGGUCAUUUUGUGAGGAUGCCUACUUUCUUCAUCACUUGAACCAUUUAUUUGUGAAGGCAUGGUUUGGAUGAUCUUAUGUUCCAUGUAAUUGUUCCCUUGCAUCUAGAUGAGAAGUGAAUUGUAUUGUAAUCAUAAGAACCGAGGAAAUGGUGGACCACAAUUAAUUAAUUAAUUAGCAUCACUGAUCAUAAAUACUUGGUCUGCACUGCAAAACCUCACUUAGUUUCACUGAUCAUACACAGGCCUGAAAUGCACUUCUUUGUUGUCUGCUUUCCUUCGAGUAAUAUAGUAUCAUUCUGCAGAAAUCACGAUCCAAGUUGAUCUUUGUUUCAUUUGUUUAUAGUUAUGAUUUAAUAGUCAACCUGUAGUUCUAAUUAGAAUGAAGUACAGAUUCAUAAGACAUAAUGUCUUGGUAUCUGUUGAUUAUUUUUGUUUAUUCAUUGAUGGUUUUAUUAUUUCUCGCUCUAAUGAUAUUUCCACAAUGAUUGGCUUCUAACGCCUUAUGGUUUUAUCUGUAGUUUGGAGCCAAAAUUUGUUUAAUCACCUCUCUUCGGGAUACUUGCUACAUUGAGAUCCUUCCUAAAGACAGGAAUCCUACACAAGAGCUUUGGCUGAGCUUUUGGAGCAAAGUGCAUUACAACUCGCUAUAUGCUACUGCAGAUGUUUCCACAAGAAGACCCAGAAAGAACCAUUGGCUUUUCUAGACUGCAAUUAGCAAGCAGACAGACUGGGAUGUAAUCUUAGUCUGCUUGCUGGUAUCAAUUCUACUGUCUUUGGCAGAAUUAGAAAAUGGGACAGUGCCUUGGUUGUUUCUACGAGGACCAUUCUAUUGAUGAUGUGCUUGAACCAGAUUGUCGUUGUUUGCCUUGGUGUUUAGGUAGCGCAGCAGCUGGUCAUUUCUUUCUACGAGUGCAGCAAUUGGAUAUUCGCUGUGAAACAAAGACCAAGAUUUAUUUUUAAUUUUCUUUAUACACAAAAGAUUGAUAUUAACUUUCUAUACACAGAGCAAGCACUGCACACGCGCUCUAGCCGGAUCUCUUAGUUCUCUCACUAAUGUAAAGACUUUGUGUUGUUUCUCUUAAUUGUCUAUGUAUAUAUUUGUCCUCUGUUGGUUUAGUUAUUUAAGGUGCUUAUGGUUGUUACUUAU